GUCGAGAAUCUUUCACAAUGGGGGCAACCCUGAUGGAGCGACGCCGCGUGAAGGAUAAGGUCUUCGGAUUGUAAACUCCUGUCAUGCGUGAACAAGGUUGCUUGGUUAAUACCUGGGCAAAUUGAUGGUAACGCAAGAGGAAGAGACGGCUAACUCUGUGCCAGCAGCCGCGGUAAUACAGAGGUCUCAAGCGUUGUUCGGAAUCACUGGGCGUAAAGGGUGCGUAGGUGGCGUGGUAAGUCAGAUGUGAAAGCCCGGGGCUCAACCUCGGAACUGCAUCCGAUACUGCCAUGCUAGAGUACUGGAGAGGUGACUAGAAUUCUCGGUGUAGCAGUGAAAUGCGUAGAUAUCGAGAGGAAUACCAAAGGCGUAGGCAGGUCACUGGACAGUUACUGACACUGAGGCACGAAGGCCAGGGGAGCGAACGGGAUUAGAAACCCCGGUAGUCC
rnacentral:rRNA from 1 species